rnacentral:rRNA from 1 species
GACGAACGCUGGCGGCGUGCUUAACACAUGCAAGUCGAACGGAAAGGCCCUGCUUUUGUGGGGUGCUCGAGUGGCGAACGGGUGAGUAACACGUGAGUAACCUGCCCUUGACUUUGGGAUAACUUCAGGAAACUGGGGCUAAUACCGGAUAGGAGCUCCUGCUGCAUGGUGGGGGUUGGAAAGUUUCGGCGGUUGGGGAUGGACUCGCGGCUUAUCAGCUUGUUGGUGGGGUAGUGGCUUACCAAGGCUUUGACGGGUAGCCGGCCUGAGAGGGUGACCGGCCACAUUGGGACUGAGAUACGGCCCAGACUCCUACGGAAGGCAGCAGUGGGGAAUAUUGCACAAUGGGCGGAAGCCUGAUGCAGCAACGCCGCGUGCGGGAUGACGGCCUUCGGGUGGUAAACCGCUUUCGCCUGUGACGAAGCGUGAGUGACGGUAAUGGGUAAAGAAGCACCGGCUACUACGUG